AACAGCUCAAAUUUGAAAUCUGGCCUCUGGCCCGAAUUGUAAUUGGCAGAGGAUGCAUCGGGGGCGGUCCCGCUCCAAGUCCGCUGGAACGUGGCGUCCUAGAGGGUGAGAAUCCCGUACGCGGGCGGCGCCCGCUCCCAUGUGAUGCUCCUUCGACGAGUCGAGUUGUUUGGGAAUGCAGCUCUAAAUGGGUGGUAUAUUUCAUCUAAAGCUAAAUACCGGCCAGAGACCGAUAGCGCACAAGUAGAGUGAUCGAAAGAUGAAAAGCACUUUGGAAAGAGAGUUAAACAGUACGUGAAAUUGUUGAAAGGGAAGCGCUUGCAGCCAGACUCGCCCGGGGUGCUCAGCCGUCCUUCGGGGCGGUGCACUCACCCUCGGGCGGGCCAGCAUCGAUUCGGGCGGCCGGACAAAGGCCGCGGGAACGUAGCACCCCGCGGGGUGUGUUAUAGCCCGCGGCGCAAUGCGGCCAGCCUGGAUCGAGGACCGCGCUUCGGCAAGGAUGCUGGCGUAAUGGCUGUCAGCGACCCGUCUUGAAACACGGACCAAGGAGUGCUCCAACGGUGCGAGUGUUUGGGCGAAAAACCCACACGCGCAAUGAAAGUGAACGGAGGUGAGAGCCCUCGGGUGCAUCAUCGACCUCCUGAUGUCUUCGGAUGGAUUUGAGUACGAGCAUCGCUGGAGUGACCCGAAAGAUGGUGAACUAUGCGCGGAUAGGGUGAAGCCAGAGGAAACUCUGGUGGAAGCUCGUAGGGGUUCUGACGUGCAAAUCGAUCUUAAAAUCUACGCAUAGGGGCGAAAGACUUAUCGAACCAUCUAGUAGCUGGUUCCUGCCGAAGUUUCCCUCAGGAUAGCAGUGACGCCUUCAGUUUUAUGAGGUAAAGCGAAUGAUUAGUGGCUCGGGGGCUUUUUCUUGCCUUCACCAAUUCUCAAACUUUAAAUAUGUAAGACGCCCUUGUUACUUAGUUGAACGUGGGCUUUUGAAUGUACCGUCACUAGUGGGCCAUUUUUGGUAAGCAGAACUGGCGACGCGGGAUGAACCGAUAGAGAUGUUAAAGUGCCGGAGUGUUCGCUCAUCAGACACCACAAAAGGUGUUAAUUCAUCUAGACAGCCGGACGGUGGCCAUGGAAGUCGGAAUCCGCUAAGGAGUGUGUAACAACUCACCGGCCGAAUGAAUUAGCCCUGAAAAUGGAUGGCGCUCAAGCGAACCACUUAUACAUCUCCGCCG
rnacentral:rRNA from 1 species